rnacentral:lncRNA from 1 species
UUUUCUUUUCUUGUAGUGUCCUUGUCUGGCUAUUGUUCACGAGCAUGUUGUUCAAUUUCUUUGUAUUUGUGAAAUUUUCCAAAAUUCUUUUUAUUAUUUCUAGUUUCAUACCAUUGUGGUCAGAAAAGAUACUUGGUAUGAUUUCAGUCUUCUAAAGUUUAUUAAGACUCGUUUUGUGGCCUAACAUGUGAGUUGUCCUCAAGAAUGUUCCAUGUGCACUUGGGAAGAAUGUAUUUUCUGCUGCUGUUGGAUGGAAUGUUCUUUAUGUCUGUUAGUUUCCUUUGGUCUAAAGUGUAGUUCAAGUUUGAUGUUUCCUUUUUGAUUUUCUGGCUUUAUUGAAAGUGGACUAUUGAAGUCUCCUACUAUUAUUAUUAUUAUGGAAAUGGAGUCCUGCUUUGUCACCCAGGCUGGAGUGCAGUGGCAAAAUCUCGGCUCACUGAAACCUCCUCCUCCCGGGUUCGAGUGAUUCUCCUCCCUCAGCCUCCUGAGUAGCUGAGAUUACAGGUCACAGAAUUUUCCACACUCCUUGACAGAGCCCCCAUGUGUCACACAGACUCAGCCUCAGGUAGAUGGUUUCCGUAGAUGGUGGCUUUCUUUGGACCCUUGACAUCAACCAGUUACUAUUUGACUCUUCUGCAGAACCCCAUGUUGACCCCUGCUUUGAGGUGGCAGAGUUAACACUACUCUUCGUUAUAAGCUCUCGUCUGGGGCAACUCAGAAGAACGGGACCAGAUGUGCAGAGGUAAUGAAUACCAGGGAAUCAGG